CCCUUAGAUGUUCUGGGCCGCACGCGAGCUACACUGAUGCAUUCAACGAGUUUCUUCCUGGUCCGAGAGGAAUGGGUAACCUUUUGAAAGUGCAUCGUGAUAGGGAUAGACUAUUGCAAUUAUUGGUCUUCAACGAGGAAUUCCUAGUAGACGUAGUUCAUCAGACUGCAUCGAUUACGUCCCUGCCCUUUGUACACACCGCCCGUCGCUCCUACCGAUUGAAUGCUCAGGUGAGCCAUUCGGACUUUCAUCAUGCUGGUUUCCAGUUUUGAUGAAGGAAAGUCUUGCGAACCUUAUCAUUUAGAGGAAGGAGAAGUCGUAACA
rnacentral:rRNA from 1 species